UUUGGUCCCUUUCAACCAGCU
rnacentral:miRNA from 2 species